rnacentral:rRNA from 1 species
UACAGAGGGGGCAAGCGUUAUUCGGAAUUAUUGGGCGUAAAGGGCGCGUAGGCGGCCUGGCAAGUGGAUGGUGAAAUCCCUCGGCUUAACCGAGGAACUGCCGGGGCUACGGCCGCACUUGACGGCAUCAGGGGACAGUGGAACUCCCGGUGGAGCGGUGAAAUGCGUAGAUAUCGGGAGGAACGCCGGUGGCGAAAGCGACUGUCUGGGGUGCUUGUGACGCUGAGGCGCGAAAGCCAGGGGAUCAAACGGG